rnacentral:rRNA from 1 species
GGCGUUCAGCGGUGGCGUUCAGCGGAGUACGGCGGCGGCGAGCGGGAAAGAGACAUCUAGCGGUUGCGUUGGGACCCGGGGUCCCAGCAAGGGAGGAGGGGUGGUCCGAGCUCCUCCGCCGGUGCUCCUCGCGCGUCGGCGGCGUUAGGACCCGUCUAGAUCGGCCCCGGCAGCCGUCGGUAGGGAGGGAGGCCGGCCGGUACUCCUUAACUUGGCCGAACUCGUCUUGAUCGCGUACCUGGUACGCACGGAGGGCGCGAUCCUCGGUGGCCAGGAGCAGUAGACGAUCGUAGGUCCUCCUUAGCUAGGUAUAUUACAAACGCCCCUCGAGCCAAUCACAGUUGUGGAGUACCUAAAUACGUAUAGUCAAGUAAAACGAAUUUCGGUCACAUUACUACGGAUGACCAAGGUCCCGGCAACUGCUCCUACACGCUCCACCCGCUGGCGUGUCCCGGGGGUUUUUAAUCCCCCGAAGCUUAGGACAUAUACACAAGAAACAGUGGUACCUAGACUCUCACGGGCUUGACGAGCAAAGCAUGUACCAGUGCCGACUGCCGGCGUGGCUAUGCUCGCCGUAGAACCAAGGAAACACACAGGAUCCCGCCGCUCCGGGUACUAGAACAUGUACCUCGUCACGUCGUAGCAACAACACGGAGACGACAGUAGGCAGUGGUCUUGUUCGUCCGUACGUGCAAAGGGAACGGACUGCGUAAGGGUAUCAGGUACAAAACCUAGGUCUAACUUCUCGUUUGAGCACGAUGUCGUCGUUGGGUCAUCGUUUUGAGACUCGAGUCGGUCGUCCAGUUGCUUAAUGUUCUAGUUGAUGUUCGACUUGCACGUUUGUGUGUUCUCUCCUAAUUGAACCUCGCACGACUCUUUCUUGUUAAACCCCUCUCCAAUUUUCUUCUCGCACGACUUUCCCUUUAUAACAACCUUCUUCUCGCUUGUAGUUCUGACAUUAAACUUUUUUUGUACUACCGUUUAAAACGUUUUAACUCGGUUGUCUACCCUUGGUCAUCCACGGUUGCUUCUCCUAAUUGUUUCUUUUAUCAUCAGAUUUGAACAUUUUAUGAGAAAAAAUCUCUAGAUCAGGAUUAUUCUGAGAUCCACGUUCCGAUUGACAAUAAAGAAGUUUACACGAGUAUGUUCGACUUAUUCCUUAAGAGUUUACAAAUUUCGUUACCAUUCAGUGUUGGAACGAAAGAAAAGUACAAGUGGACGUAAAAUAUGCAUACCGGAAGUAUUAAUCGAUCGAUGAAGAAGAGAAAGUGGUACACAACUAUAACGUAACUCAGUGUUAAAUCGUUUUUGCUUAUACACGAUCGAUCCCUGUACUUGAAUUGACUUUGAUAUCUAACUCAGUGUUGAUUUAGUUAUCGCCUACGAAAAUCAUGUACAUGAACACGAAUACAAAAUCUGUAAAUGUGAACAUUUUGACAAGACUAGGGAGUCAAUGUACGAACAACUGUGUCAUAAUGAGGUCAAUCAGACCGCUAUCCAUAAAAAUUGUUACCCCGACUUUAACAUACCACAUACAAUACAACCUGAGUAAUUGAUCUUGAUAAAAAAACUAAAGAACUAACGUCCUAGGUUGCUAGAUCGAGCUGAGCUGAGAUCUAGUGCUUGUCAAAUCAGAACCGGGAAUUCAUCCUACCGAUUUAAUGUAAACUCAUAGCAAACUACCUAUAAAAGAUACUUUUAAUACUUAGAUGUAUAAUAUACAUACCAAAACUUAUAACAUUAACUUACGGACACAAAAAAAAUACCAAUGUUAUCCGAUAAUGGUGUUAGGUGAAAACCAACGGUGUACAAUCGUGGUGCUUUUCAAAUUUAACAGCGUUAUCAAAGAACGUUGUUUGUAAAGUGAGCAACACUAUAGAUAAAUAGUGGUGGUUUUGAUCAUACAACGUUAAAGGAC